UACGUAGGGUGCAAGCGUUGUCCGGAAUUAUUGGGCGUAAAGAGCUCGUAGGCGGUCUGUCACGUCGGAUGUGAAAAUCCAGGGCUUAACCCUGGACCUGCAUUCGAUACGGGCAGACUAGAGUUCGGUAGGGGAGACUGGAAUUCCUGGUGUAGCGGUGAAAUGCGCAGAUAUCGGGAGGAACAUCUGUGGCGAAGGCGACUACCUGGACCAGCACUGACACUGAGGCACGAAAGCGUGGGGAGCAAACAGG
rnacentral:rRNA from 1 species